rnacentral:rRNA from 1 species
CCUACGGGAGGCUGCAGUGAGGAAUAUUGGUCAAUGGGCGCUAGCCUGAACCAGCCAAGUAGCGUGAAGGAUGACUGCCCUAUGGGUUGUAAACUUCUUUUAUAUGGGAAUAAAGUGCAGUAUGUAUACUGCUUUGCAUGUACCUUAUGAAUAAGGAUCGGCUAACUCCGUGCCAGCAGCCGCGGUAAUACGGAGGAUUCGAGCGUUAUCCGGAUUUAUUGGGUUUAAAGGGAGCGUAGGUGGGUUGUUAAGUCAGUUGUGAAAGUUUGCGGCUCAACCGUAAAAUUGCAGUUGAUACUGGCAGCCUUGAGUACAGUAGAGGUAGGCGGAAUUCGUGGUGUAGCGGUGAAAUGCUUAGAUAUCACGAAGAACUCCGAUUGCGAAGGCAGCCUGCUGGACUGUAACUGACGCUGAUGCUCGAAAGUGUGGGUAUCAAACAGGAUUAGAUACCCUUGUAGUC